rnacentral:rRNA from 1 species
UCAAGCGACUAAGCGCAUACGGUGGAUGCCUUGGCGGUCAGAGGCGAUGAAGGACGUGGCAGCCUGCGAAAAGCUCCGGGGAGCUGGCAACAAGCAUUGAUCCGGGGAUGUCCGAAUGGGGAAACCCACUCCGCAAGGAGUAUCCCGCGCUGAAUACAUAGGCGCGUGGAGGCGAACUCAGGGAACUGAAAUAUCUCAGUACCUGAAGGAAAAGAAAUCAACAGAGAUUCCCUCAGUAGCGACGAGCGAACGGGGAACAGCCCAAAAGUUGCAUCAGUUCUAGAAGAAGGGUCUGGAAAGGCCCGCCAUAGACGGUGAUAGCCCGGUAUUCGAAAGGGCUGAUGCGAUGAAAGUGAGUAGGGCGGGGCACGUGAAACCCUGUCUGAACAUGGGGGGACCAUCCUCCAAGGCUAAAUACUCCUGACCGACCGAUAGUGAACCAGUACCGUGAGGGAAAGGCGAAAAGAACCCCGGAGAGGGGAGUGAAAUAGAACCUGAAACCGUAUGCGUACAAGCAGUCAGAGCCCCUUCGUGGGGUGAUGGCGUACCUUUUGUAUAAUGGGUCAGCGACUUACGUUGUGUGGCGAGCUUAACCGUCUAGGGGAGGCGAAGGGAAACCGAGUCUGAAUAGGGCGCAUAGUCGCACGGCGUAGACCCGAAACCGGGUGAUCUAUCCAUGCCCAGGGUGAAGGUCCGGUAACACGGACUGGAGGCCCGAACCCACUCCUGUUGCAAAAGUAGGGGAUGAGGUGUGGAUAGGAGUGAAAAGCUAAUCGAACCCGGAGAUAGCUGGUUCUCCUCGAAAGCUAUUUAGGUAGCGCCUCGUGUAUCACUGUUGGGGGUAGAGCACUGUUAUGGCUAGCGGGUCAUUGCGACUUAGCAAACCAUUGCAAACUCCGAAUACCAACACGUGCAAGCACGGGAGACACACGGCGGGUGCUAACGUCCGUCGUGAAAAGGGAAACAACCCAGACCCGCAGCUAAGGUCCCCAAUUACCGCUCAGUGGAAAACGAUGUGGAAAGGCAUAAACAGCCAGGAGGUUGGCUUAGAAGCAGCCACCCUUUAAAGAAAGCGUAAUAGCUCACUGGUCGAGUCGGUCUGCGCGGAAGAUUUAACGGGGCUCAAGCGGUAAACCGAAGCUCGGGGUGCGUAUGUUCUUCGGAAUGUAUGCGCGGUAGAGGAGCGUUGUGUAAGCCUGUGAAGGUGGAUCGAUAGGUCUGCUGGAGGUAUCACAAGCGCGAAUGCUGACAUGAGUAACGAUAAUGGAGGUGAAAAGCCUCCACGCCGAAAGCCCAAGGUUUCCUCGCGCAACGUUCAUCGGCGCAGGGUGAGUCGGUCCCUAAGGCGAGGCGGAAACGCGUAGUCGAUGGGAAGCUGGUUAAUAUUCCAGCACUUUAUCGCAGUGCGAUGGGGGGACGGAGAAGGGUAGGUGUACCGGGCGUUGGUUGUCCCGGGGAAAGGAGGUAGGCAUGAGGCGUAGGCAAAUCCGCGCUUCUUUAUGCCGAGCACCGAGACGAGUUCUUUUAGGACGAAGUCACUGAUCCCACGCUUCCAGGAAAAGCCUCUAAGCUUCAGCUGCGAUAGAACCGUACCGUAAUCCGACACAGGUAGGCAGGGUGAGAAUCCCAAGGCGCUUGAGAGAACUCGGGUGAAGGAACUAGGCAACAUAGCACCGUAACUUCGGGAGAAGGUGCGCCCCGGUCUGUGGCUACAUGCGUAGCUGAGCAGGCUGGGGCCGCAGUGACCAGGCCGCUGCGACUGUUUAUCAAAAACACAGCACUCUGCAAACACGAAAGUGGACGUAUAGGGUGUGACACCUGCCCGGUGCCGGAAGGUUAAUUGAUGGGGUCAGCCGCAAGGCGAAGCUCUUGAUCGAAGCCCCGGUAAACGGCGGCCGUAACUAUAACGGUCCUAAGGUAGCGAAAUUCCUUGUCGGGUAAGUUCCGACCUGCACGAAUGGUGUAACGACAGCGGCGCUGUCUCCACCCGAGACUCAGUGAAAUUGAAAUCGCUGUGAAGAUGCAGCGUUCCCGCGGCAAGACGGAAAGACCCCGUGAACCUUUACUAUAGCUUUACAUUGAACGUUGAGUUCGUCUGUGUAGGAUAGGUGGGAGGCAUUGAAGUGUGGUCGCCAGAUCGCAUGGAGCCAACCUUGAAAUACCACCCUGAUGUGCUUGACGUUCUAACCUGGGCCCGUAAUCCGGGUCGGGGACCAUGUAUGGUGGGUAGUUUGACUGGGGCGGUCUCCUCCCAAAGAGUAACGGAGGAGC